AUACUCUCCAAGCACACAGAGAGUAUCCACAAGGCCUCCAUUUGCCAAUCAGCUGUCUGUGAAGACCUCUUCCAGCAGGACCAAGCUCUAGGUAUUUUACGGUGACAUGACUGACGAACUGUGAGGCAAUAAACAGCAGGUGGCUUACUUUGAAUUCCAAGUUCUCCAGAGAUGGAAUUUUCUGGAUGUUUAGGAACCAAAAGUACACUCAGAUAUAACCAAUUCAUGCCUUAUAUCAGCAGACUAAGCAUAUGCCGACAGUAUGAAAUUCUUGUAUAUUCAAGCAUUUCACUUCAGUGCAACAGUGAAAAAGUGGCCUGUUUUGAAAGUGGGAAGAGGUUAAUGGAAUCAUUUUCAAGUAUGCUGAGCUGGAUCCUGAGAGUUAAGAAGACUGAGCCAUUUUGGCUGUGUGUUUUAUAAGCCAUACGUAUCUACAGAUGCCAGAAAAAAGUUCAAAAAUCAUAUUAGGAACCCUAGACUGCUUUUUCUACUUCACUAGGUACAAUUUUCAAGGUCUUUAUAAGCCAGGAGAACCCCUUCCUCCCCACAAAGCCAAUAAAAGACCAAACUGGAGGGCUAAAGGGAAAAACAGCAAGUUCAAGACUAUAACCCCCUACCUAGCCUUUGUCUGUUUUAGAACAUCCUAGAGCUCCAUCUAGUGGCCACCUAUGGCCACUAACCUAGAGCUAAGAGAAUGCUACAUAAAAAGAGGGAGGAAGGGAGAGAGAGAGAGAGAGAGA